rnacentral:rRNA from 1 species
GAAUUUUGGACAAUGGGCGAAGGCCUGAUCCAGCAAUGCCGCGUUCAGGACGAAGGCCUUCGGUUUGUACACUGCUUUUGUACGGAACGAAAAGCUUUGGGUUAAUACCCUGGAGUCAUGCCCGUACCGUAAGCAUAAGCCCCGCCUAUCUACUUGCCCGCCGCCGCGGUAAUACGUAGGGUGCAAGCGUUAAGCGGAAUGACUGGGCGUAAAGCGUGCGCAGGCGGGUUUGUAAGACAGAUGUGAAAUCCCCGGGCUCAACCUGGGAACUGCCUUUGUGACUGCAAGGCUAGAGUACGGCAGAGGGGGGUGGAAUUCCGCGUGUAGCAGUGAAAUGCGUAGAUAUGCGGAGGAACACCGAUGGCGAAGGCAACCCCCUGGGCCUGUACUGACGCUCAUGCACGAAAGCGUGGGGAGCAAACA